AGAAUCAACGCUGGCGGCGUGCCUAACACAUGCAAGUCGCACGAGAAAGGGGAGCAAUCCCUGAGUACAGUGGCGCACGGGUGAGUAACACGUGAAUAAUCUACCUCCGAGUGGGGAAUAACUGGGAGAAAUCUUAGCUAAUACCGCAUAAUACCCACGGGUCAAAGCAGUAAUGCGCUUGGAGAGGAGUUCGCGGCAGAUUAGUUAGUUGGCGGGGUAAUGGCCCACCAAGACGAUGAUCUGUAUCCGGCCUGAGAGGGCGCACGGACACACUGGAACUGAAACACGGUCCAGACUCCUACGGGAGGCAGCAGUGGGGAAUUUUUGCGCAAUGGGGGAAACCCUGACGCAGCAACGCCGCGUGGAGGAUGAAGCCCCUUGGGGUGUAAACUCCUUUCGAUCGGGAAGAUAAUGACGGUACCGAUAUAAGAAGCCCCGGCUAACUUCGCGCCAGCAGCCGC
rnacentral:rRNA from 1 species